rnacentral:lncRNA from 10 species
CUUGGUGUUCCCAGGUGUAGUUACUGAGCAGCAUGGUUCCAAAGGACAGCAAAAGCACUUUACUGCCUUAGAAGGAGGGGAGGCUUUGCCAGGCCUAUGAAACCCUCAUCUGGAUCUGGCCUCCAGGGCAGCCUCCUGCCUGCCUCUCUGGUGAGGCUCAGCUUCUGCUCUGCCUCACCAGCUCCCCUCCAGUUCCCCUCACUCUGAGGGUGCAGGGAGCAGGGUCCCACGGGAGCAUUGGUGUGAGAGGGAGCUCCCAGCACCGAGGGAGAAGCAGGACUCACUGACCAAACCAUGUGUUUGUGCUGGAAGGGCCUCACUGCAAACAUGCUCAUCUUAUGGAAGAAGAAAGGAGGUUCAGAGAGGGAAAGGCUUGCCUGAGGUCACACGGUUCCUGGGGAUGCAGCUGGAGCCGGGCUGGUGGAAGCAGCAGGCCGAAGUGUUUUAGAAUCUUCCUGAACCCAGCAAAGGGAUGG